rnacentral:rRNA from 1 species
GAUGAACGCUCGCGGCGUGCCUAAUACAUGCAAGUCGAGCGAACAGACGAGGAGCUUGCUCCUCUGACGUUAGCGGCGGACGGGUGAGUACCACGUGGCUAACCUACCUAUAAGACUGGGAUAACUUCGGGAAACCGGAGCUAUUACCGGAUAAUAUAUUGAACCGCAUGGUUCAAUAGUGAAAGCCGGUUUUGCUGUCACUUAUAGAUGGAUCCGCGCCGCAUUAGCUAGUUGGUAAGGUAACGGCUUACCAAGGCAACGAUGCGUAGCCGACCUGAGAGGGUGAUCGGCCACACUGGAACUGAGACACGGUCCAGACUCCUACGGGAGGCAGCAGUAGGGAAUCUUCCGCAAUGGGCGAAAGCUUGACGGAGCAACGCCGCAUGAGUGAUGAAGGUCUUCGGAUCGUAAAACUCUGUUAUUAGGGAAGAACAAAUGUGUAAGUAACUAUGCACGUCUUGACGGUACCUAAUCAGAAGGCCAGGGCUAACUACGUG